CAGAAUCUUGAUGUACGGGAAAAACUAUGCUGCUCGCUAUGUCCAUGGAAUGAGCACAUAAUGUUCUCAUUAUUACAAUGAUUGACCUAGCCCUAGUUUCUCAUAAAACCCAUCCACUACCCCUUGUUUCUUUGCACACACACUAUCUCUUCUUGUUGGUUCAUGCUAGCUAUCUGCAUCAUCUCACAGUCAACAAUCAAGUCCAUAAAUGGUGUGCCAAGCUCGACGCUUAUCAAUGUCCACAUUGAUGAGUGUAAUGCUAAGGAAAAACAUUAGCUUUUUUCAAGAUCUUGCGCUCCUCUUGCUGGAUGUCAUCUUGCUUUCUGUGUCAGCUAUACGAUACAACUCUGCCUUGCACUCUAGGCGUUCUAACACUGCAGUUUUCCGCAGGUACUCCCUUACGCCAUCAAUGGCUGCUCGACAUGAUCGUUGGUUACUUCUCUAGCUACCCUUUCCUUUUUCUGAAUCGUUGUUAAUUAAUUUUACGUUGGUUACUUCUCUAGCUACCCUUUCCUUUUUCUGUAUCGUUGUUAAUUAAUUUUAUUUGAUGUGAGUUCGUGGUUAAAUAUAUUUUCACUUAUGUGUAAGCACAUAUAUUAAAUUUGGGCCGUCCGACCUGCCCCCAGCACAAGCUAGGUGUUAAAAAAAAAACCAACCUUGAGUUAAACUGGUUUAUUCAGUUCAUCUGGUCAAAUUUUAUUCAAUAGAUUCAGUCAAAAUCUCCUAGAAAAUUUGCUAUUAAUAAGGAUAAAUUCUUUAUCCAUACAAAUUUUAUUGGUUAUCUCUUAGUGGAAUUAAAAUAUUAUCAAUAAAUCUUUACAAUUUCAAUAACACUAUCUUGUUUAAUUACUUUUGUUUACUAACUUAAAAAAAAUAUUACUUCAAUAUUCAUUUACAUAGACAAAACUUAAAGCUCUAGAGUUGUGAAAAAACUAAGAGGAAAAAUGAGCUUAAAAUUAAGGAAACUAGGGUGAAAAUUGAGAUGAAGAAAAGUGUAAUUUUUUUUCUUGUAAAAUUGCAUAGAAAAAAAAUUUCUUCUUUCAAACUCCUUUUAUAUUGGAUUUUGAAACCAAAACUAAUAUGUAAUUAAUUCCGAUAAUUAAUGGAAUUAAUUCUCACUAUUAUUAACUUUAAUUACCCUCCAUAAAACAUAAUUAGACCUAAUAAUUUUAGCUUUAAAUCAAAUGUUUUUUGUUUUAAAUAAAACUAAUUAGGUUGAAUAAGAAGAUAUAAACCCUAACCCAAGCUCAAAAUCGAUUAGCAAUUUUUUUUUCAUUAAGGUUGAUUUUAAACAAAUAUUUUACAGUAAAUCUAAACUUAGAACAUGAGGUCCGAGCGAACAUGUGUGGUCUAAAUCUAAAAUCCACUUUGUUUAGGUCAUAUUCCUUUAAAAGCUUUUGUGUUUUUUGGGCUCAAUUUCAACCCUUCAUUUUUUGUAUAUAUGAUAGAUAGUUUUGAAUUUCACAAAAACAUGUCAAUCAAAUAUUCUCUGAGUUUAAUUUUUUAUUCAUUCAUAAUUUAUUUUAAUAAUUACCAUUUGAAGAAAAUUUGUACUUGCAAUUAAUAAUUGGAGACACUUUUCCAAUUCAGAAAUUCUCAUGGGUGGAUAAAUUAAUUGAAAAUUUGAAUUAAAAAUUCAUGAUGAAUCACUUCCAGAAUUUGGAUACUACCCAUUAUUUCAUUAGUAUUUAGACACAGAAUUUAUCAGAAAAACAAUUAUCGAUGGAAUUACAAAUUGUACAUGGUUGCUGAAAAACUUAUCGUCGGUGGUUUUUAUUUUGUUGAUCAUUUUGUCAGUAAUAUAAACACCAAUGAAUUUACAGACAAAAAAAAAAAUAUAGCCAAACAAAAAGAAUUUACCAGCAUCAUUCAAUCGGUAAUUUCAUUGAUGAGUAAGGCAUAUUGCCGACAGAAAAGACAGUUUGUAAUUCCAUUGAUAAUUAAUUUUGAAUUACCAAUAAAAUUAAUCACUAGGUGAUUUACAAAUUGUGAGUGAUAAAAUCAUGUAAUUUUUCUUUCAAUUCUCUAUCACUCUCUAAUGAGCUUAGUCGGUAAAUCUACCUGUAGUUACAAAGUCAUGUAAUUGUUUUCCAACUCUUUAACAGACUUAAUUAAUUCCAUCAGUAUUCUGUUUAAUAUUAAAAAAAAAAAAACAAACAAAAUAGAAAAAAUUUAAAAGAAAUAAAAAAACAAAUAUUUAUUACUAAUUUAAAAAUUAUAAAUUUAAAUAUAAUUUUUUAUAGAGGAUAAAGAUAUUUAAAGAUUUAUUUGAUUUUGAAGAAUAAUUCAAUGUUUCCGGCUCCUCUCAUGUUAAAGGCAAAAGGAUAAAUUAUCUUGGUCUAACAUGGACCUUUCACAUUAAGCCCCUGUUCGGGUUACAUCCAAAUGAAGAUUUAUCAAAAUUUAAUUUUUUUAUUUAAAAUUAUUUUUAAUAUACUAAUAUUAAAAAUAAAUUUAAAAAAAUAAAAAAAAUAUUAUUUUAAUUUAUUAAAAUAAAAAACAUUUUAAAAAACAACUAUUUAAGGAACAUUUAACCUUCCGUUGUUUUAACCUGCUUUGUUUUGUUUUUUUAUUUGUUGUCUAAUAAAUUUUAGACCGAAUUGAAUAUAUGAAUGGAUCAUCUAGACUGUUAGCAAUCAAAUGUUACAAGAAAUCUAUUCAUUGUGUCGUCUAAAAAACACCACAAGCUCCUCGAUGAACAACAAAAAACAAAUCGAAGAUAUAGAUGAAUUUUAAUGAUUUGUAAGAGUAUUAUUGUGUGAUUCAUGGUUUUAGAUGGUGAAAUAAGUGAUAGAAAAUGCAUUCUGCUCUUCGAAAUGAAUUCUAGUGGAGUGCAAUUGGGAUUUGUUAAGAAGAUUACCAGGGUUUUUCCAACCAAAGAAAGAAACAUUCAUGCAAAUUAUUUAAGUAAGAACCCAAAGAGAGGUUCCCAAGAGACAACGAGCGGUUGACUCAUCGUUAACUAAGUCCUAGCAAAUUAUUCAAGGUAGAAACCUAUUUAUGCAUUCAUAGUUUUUCACUCACAAUGUAAAGCAUAUGAUCAACCAGUAGGACCAGCUUGUGAAUGACCCGAUAGACAUCUAUAUCUACAUUAUAGCUGCAGACUUCACAUCUUUGACAUUGUGUAAUCCAUCGCAUCCACAAGGAAAUCUGCAACCAAAAGGGUACCACAAGAUGAUAAGAAUGGCAGCCAAGCUGGUAAUAUACAGUAGAUAAUGGUCGUCUCCGAAAGAAACGAAAAAGCUGUACCUGCAUCUUCUUUAGUAAAGCAUAGCGGAGGUGUAAUUCUAAAAACGUUGCCAUAGAAUCCGCCUUUCCCAAUCAAGACCCCCAGUUCUGUGAUGACAAAAAAGGCCUGUUAGUGACUAGAAGUUGGUUCAAGAGGUUAGCAGGACGAUGGGAUGAGAGGAAUAUCUACCUUUCAUCUGCUCCAUUACAUGCAGAGUUUCAGCCUUUGCUGGAGUUUUCUGUUGGCGGUCAGUUACAAGUUCAACACCGAGCAUCAAUCCUUUUCCCCUCACAUCUCCAAUGACUGCAGACAAUUAUGGAAAAAGCAACCAUUGAUAGCAAUAUAAAGAGCAAAUACCACCAGAAGAGAUUCUUAAAAACCAUAUUGCUUAACCGCUGAUGCGAAACGUUAAAAAAACUUAAAUAUAGUUAAAAAUUAAGGUAUUUAAUCAUAUGAGGAUGUGUUAUUUCAAAAAUGCACAUUAGACAUAUCAGAAAAUGCAAGGUGUUUUUCAAAAGUGAAUAAUUGUUUUCAGAUAUUUUUUUUUUAUUUUUAACAUUAAUACAUCAAAACUACAGAAAACACUAAAAAAAUACAUCAAUUUAAUGCCGUUUCAUGCAAAACACACUUUUAAAACGUUCCCAAACACGGUAGAAACACAACGUCAAACAACAUAGAGAGGUGUUUUUUUUACUUAAUUCAGGUUGAGGUUUAAUGAUCAUUAUGUUUGAUAGCAGCACAGAAUAACAUGUGAGGCAACUUACUUUCAUAUUUAUCCUUGAGUUCAGUCAGUCUCUUUUUCAGAUGGGACCCCACCACUAGUGCAUUUUCCUGAAGAUUUUCUUUCUCGAUCACUUUCAAAACUGCCAGACCCGCAGCGGUACAUAAAGGAUUUCCUCCAAAUGUGUUGAAGUAACAACGACGAGUCAAGACUUCUGCAAUUUCGGGGGUGGUCACCACAGCACCAAGAGGAAUGCCAUUCCCAAUCCCCUGCGUAUGUCAGUCAAUGAUGAAAAAUAAGUUGACACGCAAACCCAGCUUAUUAUGCGAGGACAGGUAGGCAUACUGAAAAAUCUAUGAGGCAAAUCUGUAUGUAUCCAAUGGGACUUGUCUAAAGAUGUGCCUAAAGAAUUGUAAUGACAAGUAAUAAGAAAACCUGGCAUGAAAGACGAACAUCUAAUACCAGGAAUUGAAGAUAUGAUCAUCCAAAUACAAUUGCCAAUGUAGGAAGCAGCUGUUUUUGUAUUUUCCAGCCAAAGACAGAAAGGAAAUGCCUGAACCAAACAGGGGAGGACUAAC
rnacentral:lncRNA from 1 species